rnacentral:rRNA from 1 species
AGAGUUUGAUCAUGGCUCAGGACGAACGCUGGCGGCGUGCUUAACACAUGCAAGUCGAGCGGAAAGGCCCUUCGGGGUACUCGAGCGGCGAACGGGUGAGUAACACGUGAGUAAUCUGCUCAGCUCUGGGAUAGCUCCGGGAAACCGGGAUUAAUACCGGAUAUGACUGUGCCCGACAUCGGGUGUGGUGGAAAGUUUUU